rnacentral:rRNA from 1 species
CAGCAGCCGCGGUAAUACAGAGGGUGCGAGCGUUAAUCGGAUUUACUGGGCGUAAAGAGUGCGUAGGCGGUUUAGUAAGUUGGAAGUGAAAGCCCGGGGCUUAACCUCGGAAUUGCUUUCAAAACUACUAAUCUAGAGUGUAGUAGGGGAUGAUGGAAUUCCUAGUGUAGAGGUGAAAUUCUUAGAUAUUAGGAGGAACACCGGUGGCGAAGGCGGUCAUCUGGGCUACAACUGACGCUGAUGCACGAAAGCGUGGGGAGCAAACAGGAUUAGAUACCCGGGUAGUCCCUGUCUCUUAUAC